UUGCUUUACUUGCUUUACUUGCUUUACUUGUUUUACAUAGCAGGCUCAUCAACUUGGAUUUUGGCAGUUUUUAUAUUGCUUGCCCUGCCAUUCUCCAUUUUCUACCUGCGGGCACUUCACAUAAGCUGAACAGUGAUAGUGAAAAGUAAAAAAGCAUCUUAUCAAUGCACUGCUGUUUUUUGCAACAAUUGCUCAUUGCUUGUACUCACCUCCUGUUUUGCGCAAUACGAAGUAGCUAAGUUUCUUAGCGAGCUUCUGCAGACAUCAAAUUUCAAACUAUAAGCAAUCACUAAUGUAAAAUUCUUAGCUUUGAAGCAGUUUGAUGAUAAUCAGUGAACAAUCGUGAUUUCUUAGAUUUUUGGGAGACCGCUGGAUAACCAGCACCUGAUCAUGACCUGAUUUAAUCUGGUGCACUUUACAGAUUGCCAAAGCACACUGCAUUGUGAACACAGAAUAGGACAUUUUUUUAUUCUAUUCUGUGUUUUCUAUUCUGUGUCGUGGACCAGAAAUCCAAAGGAUUUGCUUACAAGCAAGCAGAAGCUCGUAGUGCAACUUGUACUCUAAAUAGCUACUCCGCUGCAAUAGCAAUAAGGUAAAGCUUUAUAUUCUUGUUUUUAAUUCUUAAACUUUAGAGUCAGCCCAAUCACUGUAAUAUAAGCUAACCCUUCGAGACGUUAAGAUUAUAUUUUGGCCACGAAUAUAUUUUAUGAAUGCAUUUAUUCUAUACAAUAUUCUAUUAUUCAUAACUGUAAAGUCCUUUUGAUGUCUUGUGAUGUGCUGUUGAAUAUGUUCUUCAAUCCCAUUCUCCUGUAACUCGUAUUCUGUACCCAUGCUGUCGCCUUUCUGUUCCUAUUUGUUGACGAAUCAUCUGCAAAGCUGACUACUUGACUGCUCCAAACAACCUGUAAAUCCUCAUUCAUAUUCCUUGAAUCACUAUUGUACAAGCAAGUGGCGACUCCCUACUUGUAGCGAAUUAUUGCUUCAUACGAAUUGAAGUACCGAUUGUUCUAAGGUGAAAGACGGCACCCGCUAAACACCAUAGCUACUCCUACAGCUCGGCCCGUAUUGGCAAGUAUUUGCAAUCAUGUUUAAAUAGAAGCUGGAAGUUUUUAUCGCAAAGUGACUGCCGAAGUAUUGCAUCAUGUUGCUCUCAAGGACAUUCGAGGUGGAUUCUGGAUCCAUGAGUAGAAAUCAGCUGGGAAGAAGAGACACCCAAACAAGUGAAAACUUUUGGGCCGAUAUUCGCAACCUCUCGUUUAACGAGAAAAGUGACGUAGAGCCCCUAGCUCUGAAAGAGAGGAUUCGAUUCAACGUAAGUGGCACGAUGUUCGAAACAUUCUCGAAAACACUGAACCGUUUUCCAGAUACCCUUCUCGGAUCCAGUGAAUUGCGAGUGACAUACUACGAUCAAGCGGACGAUGUUUACUUUUUCGAUCGUAACAGGGACGCGUUUGAAAGUAUUCUGUUCUUCUAUCAGUCAUACGGAAAGUUGAUAAAGCCUGCAAACCUUGGACUAAAGCUGUUUAUCGAAGAGCUGAAGUUUUUCCAAAUGGGAGAAGACAUCAUCAAUAGAUUCAUGGUCACAGUUCGGUACCCUGAAGAUGACAACGUCCAACAAAGUAGUGGGCGGACUAUAUGUGGAAAAAUCUGGAACUUUAUAGAGGCUCCAAAAUCGAAACCGGCAAUGGCUGUCGCAUUUUUCUCCGUUGCCAUGAUUUGCAUAUCGGUCAUAAUUUUUUGCAUGGAAACAAUGCCAAUGUUCAAAUCUUCUGAGUAUGCGAACACGUUUGACGGUUUAGAAGCAGUUUGCGUGGCCUGGUUCACCCUUGAAUUAUUGCUGCGAUUCGCAACGGCACCGAAUAAGUUCACAUUUCUAAAGUCAUUCAUGAAUUUAAUUGAUUUGGUAUCCAUUCUACCAUUCUACAUGACAAUUUUUAGCAGUUUGGUGCAAGGCAGUAAACAAGCUCCACGGCUUGAGUUUCUUCGCGUCAUUCGCCUGGCACGUGUGCUUAGAGUUUUUAAACUUUCACGCCAUCUGCGCAUAUUCAAGAUUCUUGGACUUACUUUAAAGUCUAGUUUCCGUGAACUUAUGCUACUGUUGUUUUUUGUUCUCAUUGCCGUGGUUUUGUCUUCAAGCGCUGUAUAUUACGCCGAUCCGAAUUUUGAAAGUAUUCCCCACGCCUUCUGGUUCGCAAUAAUCACCCUUACAAAUGUAGGCUAUGGUGACAGUGUACCAACUAACGUCCCUGGUAAAAUCAUCGCAAGUUUAUGUGCGGUUUGUGGCAUCAUUGUCCUAGCACUACCAAUACCUAUAGUUGUAUCCAGUUUUAUGUAUUUUUACAAUCUGGAGAAGGAAAAUCAAAAAUUGGAGAAGCAAGAUAAACAAAACAAGAAAAGGCUAUCAAUGAUGAUUCCCAAUCAGGACAUCAAACAAGGCAUGUGGCCAUUGCACAAGCUUUCGAAAGCUAAAGUUUCCCCCGUUCCCAGUCAAACAGAGGACGAAGAAGAUACUUUGAGUAACGCGAGUGAAGGGGGUAUUGAGAAAAAAAGUGUGCCACUUGUCCAGACUCUUUCUUAGAUUUGAUGGAGAACAUUUGUUAUCUGUAUGGUGUUGUGCAAGAAUUUUCACAACUUCUUCUGCCAAGCGAUAAAGAUACCUUUGUUAUACAUAGUGAUAAACGCCUCGGUGCAGCUAUUUGUCUGAUUUUUCCUCUGUAGUAGAUACACAGAAUCAGGCUUCAUUCCAGUAACUCCAUGCUGGGAUGGCCUUGUUAUUGGUCAAGUUCUUAAUCUUCUUAAUCUUGAAUAUCACAAUCACGUGUAGUACUUACUUAGAAAACGAAGUCAAAAUUCAAAAUUUAAAGAGAAUUUACCCAUAUAAGCCAUGAUCGUUUUGGAAAACUGCGACUCAAUUUGCAUGAAACUUGAGCUGUUCUUAGUCAUAAUUGCAUGAUCGCUUUGCAAUAAAAUCAAAAGAAGCAUUAUUUAGUCUUUAUUUUUAGAUGUAAAGAUCGUCACUUCAAUAUUCGUUGAUUCUCUUUGAUCUAGCUAAUAGCUCUAAGGUUUGUAAAAAACACCUUGUUGUAAGGUUGCUAAAUGUUCAUACCUUGCCUUCAAUGUUUGCAUUCCGCUAACCAUUACCACUUAUUUUUGCCUGACAGUGCAUUACCCUGCACCGCUCCAAAGUUUCUUUGUCGAAAAAGUAUCGAAUCAGUUAAUUCUGUUAAAUAUCGAAUCUGGCUUGUUGUGUGUUAACUGAUAUCAGGGAAUCUUGUAAUCUUAUAGCAAUAGGUUGAUGGUAUUUAGCAGUAGCGGAUAAUAUGGGGGUUUGAGGGGACUCGACGCUCAACGAUCUCCUCGGAAUACUCGGGCCUUCUUCGUAAAUUUAAACAUAGCUGAUAAAAUAUUGGCCAAUACUAAAUAAUCAAGCAAGCAAUUUGUGACAAAAUCAAAACUGCUUGUGAAUUGUAUAUGUAGUUUCAAUUCCGUAAAGAUUAGCAGAAAUUUCCAUCGAAUUCUUCCAAAUUAUUCCCACAAACGUUUUUCCCACUGAAGAAAAUAGGUUAAAUGCAGAAAAUUAACAUUACAACUACAAUCAUGUUGUUAUCAUGAACGACUUGUCAAAAGUAUAAUCGUUCGAUCGCUUGUAUAAUCAAUUGUCUUAGAUGAGAUAUCGAUCUUGAUAUCAAAAUUCAUAAAUGGAUUGUUCUUCUUGCUACUUAAUUAUGCCGUGAUCUCAAAAUCGAGCGAAGUCGAGCAGUGAUGGCAAAACGAUUCGAUUUUUGGCUCGAUUUUCACUCGACUUUUCACUCAUUCCAACAAAAUUAAAACAAAGAAACGCAAAGCGGCUGCCGUGCUUAUUGUACAUGCAAAUGUCCUUUCACAUUUCUCUCGACGAACUCUAGCGUCAUAAGACCCUGGUCGUUCGUUUCAUGCAGUAGCCGUCACUAAAUAUUUUAUUUCGUUUAAGCAAUUUACUAUUUCUAUGCAUACGUUUGUUUCGUUUGAUUAAUUCAACUCUUAAAAUAGAAUUCAUCACUUUGAAAGGUACCCUGGACCUAGAGGUCCCAGGGUAGUAUGCUUUCCUGCCCCCUUUUGGCCGCUUUUCUUUUAAAAAUAGCUAAGCAUAAGAGAUGAUAACUGCGCACGUGCUCACUCAACGACUCGAUAUUUUACUCGAUUUCUUGUCGAGUAAAAAAUGGAGUGAAAAAUUGAGUCGUUUUGCCGGGGCUUAAAGUGUCCCGCCGAAAAAUCACUUAUUUUCGUCAAAAUUUGCAGUGUUGUUAAAAAUAGAAAUAAUCCAAGAUGACAUCUUGUCGGAAAAUCAUAGGCCUGCCCCCCCCCCCUUCUCCUAAAUGAAAGCCUGAAUUUCCGCCACUGGUAUUUAGAUGGUUGUGUGGACUUUCAAUACGUUGGAAAUAGGCUUGGCAAAGUUCGGUAAAGUGUCACAAUUUAAAAAGGUACAAUUUCUUAAUGGCAACCUGAUAACGUGUUAGAUAACAAUACAACAUCUCAGAAAACUGCAAUUAUCAGGUUUCUAGAUGCAGUGCGAAUAGGGCCUUAUUUUGGAUUCCUUUGGGCCAUAGUUUGUAAACUUUGGUAACCAGAAAUUAGCCCGUUAAGUUUUGCUCUGAUGAAGCCCCGUAUGCCGGGGCGAAAUAUUAGCCUUUACUGAUUUUCGUGUUUUUAUUGUUGUUUAUUCUCGGCGUAUUGCGGUGUUUCAUAUUUGCUACAUUUUUAUCGACUUUUCGCCGCAAGAACUCCUUGGAGCCCGUCGAGCAGCCUGCUACAGUGACCUUUUCUUCAUUCACACAUAACCAGAAAUUGGCGCCAAAUCUCGUAGCCUCCUAUCCAUAGAAAUUUCUAUGCUCCUAUCACUCUCACUUUUGGUAUCGAGGCGGAAUCAUAAUGGAACGAAACUUCGGGAAACUCGGCGUGCAUCUCUUUUUCAGCCUGACAAAACAGUUAAUAUUUGAUAUGGACAAGAAACAUGUUGAAAUUGGAUGUUAAGAAAUGCAUGAUGGGCAGUUUUUUACAACCUUUACCACUAGAAACACAGUUAAAAGCGUUAGCGUCAUCAUAAUUUGAUAUCUGUUAUCCGCAUCUGAUCUUCUUGAAGAAUAUGCGAAAGGCCUAGGCAGGCUCAGGCAUAUCAUUUGAACCUGUUUAAGAUGAAAAGGACUGCUAACAGGAAACUGUUAAGUAUAUCAUGUUUGACUCAGCUGAUCUGCUGUGGAUCAAUUGUGCUGGUGCAGUCUCUAAUAGGCUCUGGAUUUUGUUUGGAGAACCGGCAAUGUAUUCUCGAUUCUGUGAAAACAUUUCUGUUGAAUAUGUACUCAACAAUCCUGCUUGGAUGGUUUGUUACCAAAGCGGCAGUCAUCGAUGGAGAUGACUUAAUAUGCACAGAUUUAAAAAGCAAGGUAUAUUGUUUGCUCAAGUCAGUAUUUGCAACAUUUUGUGGAAAUUUCUUGUAUCAUUUUAUCACAGUUAUUUAUGGAGCCCCUUUUAUAGA